AUGGGUGAAGAUCUUUUAUUUGAUUACUACACAAAAACAGGUAUAUUAAUUUUAUUAUUACUAAUUUUAAAUAUAUUAAAUAUAUUUUUACAAACAAUAUCAUUUUAUUUUUUAUUAAAAAAAGCAGAUUUGACCAAUAUAAUACCAAUUGAAUCUAAUAAAACUAUAACAAAACCAAUAAUGAAUGAAAACUAUGACAUUAACCAUAUGAUUAAUUUCACAAACCUAUGUUACUACAUAGCUUUAAGAAUACCUAUGCAACUUAUUUUAAAUGUAUUAUUGGUACUACCAUCUAUAAUAAUUAAAAAAAGUAAAUAUUUACAUUUAUUUAAUAUAUGUAGUAUUUUAAAUUGUUUAGUAAACAUUAUUUUUGGUAAUAUAGACAUUUAUUACUCCUUGAAUCCAAAAAUAUUUUACAGAAGUAACGUAGAUAAGGUAUUAUUUUAUUACAACAUGUUAGACAUAUUUUACAUUGGAAAAAUAUGUACAAGUAUAUUUAUAAUCCCAUUUAUUACUAACUUUAGUGAUAUGAAAACGUUUAUAUUAGUAUGUUUAAGUUUUAUGAGUUAUACAAUAGUAGGAUAUGAUCAAAUCCAUGUCACUUCGUCUAAAGUUCAUUUUAUUCUGAAUACAUUAAUUAUUUGCAUUGUCAUUAUUUCUAUAUUAACCUUCAAAUACUCAAAGUUGUUGAUACAAUUAAGAAAACUUUUAUUUAUCAAAUACGUUUUACCUUACUAUACGUAUUUAACAUUAAUUAAAGAAAGUCCCGUCAUAAAAAUGGAAAUUAACAAAAACCGUAGUCUAUCACAUACAAACAGCGAUGAUAGCUAGAUUUAAAAUUUUAUAUGUUACAUUUGUAACCACACUAAAUGAAUUAACAAGCUCACAUAAGAAAAUAUAUUUGUUUUUACGAUUUUUUUUUAAUGUACAUAUUUGACACGAUUUGUUAACAUAUACAUGUGAUGAUGCAUUUUGGCAUUUGCUAUUUGUUAUUUGUUCUUAUUUGCUGUUUGUUCUUA
rnacentral:lncRNA from 1 species